rnacentral:rRNA from 1 species
UACAGAGGGGGCAAGCGUUGUUCGGAAUUACUGGGCGUAAAGGGCGCGUAGGCGGCCUUCUAAGUCGAACGUGAAAUCCCCGGGCUCAACCCGGGAACUGCGUCCGAUACUGGAAGGCUUGAAUCCGGGAGAGGGAUGCGGAAUUCCAGGUGUAGCGGUGAAAUGCGUAGAUAUCUGGAGGAACACCGGUGGCGAAGGCGGCAUCCUGGACCGGCAUUGACGCUGAGGCGCGACAGCGUGGGGAGCAAACAGG